rnacentral:rRNA from 1 species
UACGAAGGGUGCAAGCGUUACUCGGAAUUACUGGGCGUAAAGCGUGCGUAGGUGGUUUGUUAAGUCUGAUGUGAAAGCCCUGGGCUCAACCUGGGAAUGGCAUUGGAUACUGGCGAGCUAGAGUGCGGUAGAGGGUAGUGGAAUUCACGGUGUAGCAGUGAAAUGCGUAGAGAUCGGGAGGAACAUCUGUGGCGAAGGCGACUACCUGGACCAGCACUGACACUGAGGCACGAAAGCGUGGGGAGCAAACAGG